AAAAUGUCUCUUGAGAUGUGCCGCAAUCACCAGUGGAAUUCUAACAUUAAUUUUAUCUGGAGUAUUAACUUAUACACUUUACUUAAUUUCUCUUAAUUAUAACAAAAAAAAAUGUGACCUCGAUUGUGGACCCAAUGGAAACUGUCAAAGUGAUCGGUGUGUUUGUAAUGAAGGUUGGACUGGAUUGAAAUGUGAACAACGUUUAUGUGACCGUCGGUGUUUGAAUCAUGGUCAGUGUUACAAUGGAACUUGUUUCUGUCACCAAGGAUGGAACGGAAAAUUGUGUACAUUAGAGGGUUGUCCUCGAAAUUGUAACGAUCGUGGAGCUUGUGUUGAGCAAAAUGGUGAAUAUUUUGUUCCUGUAAUGUCGAUGUAAAAUCGAUUGAUUUAGAUAUUUUUCUU